UACGUAGGGUGCGAGCGUGUCCGGAAUUACUGGGCGUAAAGAGCUCGUAGGUGGUUUGUCGCGUUGUUCGUGAAAACUCACAGCUUAACUGUGGGCGUGCGGGCGAUACGGGGCAGACUGGAGUACUGCAGGGGAGACUGGAAUUCCUGGUGUAGCGGGUGGAAUGCGCAGAUAUCAGGAGGAACACCGGUGGCGAAGGCGGGUCUCUGGGC
rnacentral:rRNA from 1 species